rnacentral:rRNA from 1 species
GACGAACGCUGGCGGCGUGCUUAACACAUGCAAGUCGAACGGAAAGGCCCUGCUUUUGUGGGGUGCUCGAGUGGCGAACGGGUGAGUAACACGUGAGUAACCUGCCCUUGACUUUGGGAUAACUUCAGGAAACUGGGGCUAAUACCGGAUAGGAGCUCCUGCUGCAUGGUGGGGGUUGGAAAGUUUCGGCGGUUGGGGAUGGACUCGGGGCUUAUCAGCUUGUUGGUGGGGUAGUGGCUUACCAAGGCUUUGACGGGUAGCCGGCCUGAGAGGGUGACCGGCCACGUUGGGACUGAGAUACGGCCCAGACUCCUACGGGAGGCAGCAGUGGGGAAUAUUGCACAAUGGGCGGGAGCCUGAUGCAGCAACGCCGCGUGCGGGAUGACGGCCUUCGGGUUGUAAACCGCUUUCGCCUGUGACGAAGCGUGAGUGACGGUAAUGGGUAAAGAAGCACCGGCUAACUACG